rnacentral:sRNA from 1 species
UCUAGAUUGAAGGUGCUCGUCAGGGCGACUCUAUUGAGCCCAAACACGAUGGAAUUAUAAUGAGUAGAUUAGGAGUUCUAGUGACCAACUCCUGACUCCAUCAUGAGACCCUGAUGGACUUCA